AAACCCAUCCUACCGAUUAGGUAGGGACUUGUCGGUCGAGUGCGUCUUGUGCGCAUCCGUCGAUUAAAAGUAGUAGGUCUAGUCAGGCUGGUGGCCUGGGACAUUGUGUGCUAGAGACGUCGCUUCGGCUACUGUCUUCUCACAGUGCGUCCCUUGCUAUACAAGCCGGUCUGGUUUUGGCCUCCACAGUCAUCGUAAGGUGACAACCCCCCU
rnacentral:misc_RNA from 1 species